rnacentral:rRNA from 1 species
UGUGAGCUCGAUGAGUAGGGCGGGACACGUGGUAUCCUGUCUGAAUAUGGGGGGACCAUCCUCCAAGGCUAAAUACUCCUGACUGACCGAUAGUGAACCAGUACCGUGAGGGAAAGGCGAAAAGAACCCCGGCGAGGGGAGUGAAAAAGAACCUGAAACCGUGUACGUACAAGCAGUGGGAGCCCCACCACCAAAGCAUUCUCUGGUGUUGAAGGCCCUGCAAAGCAGCAUCGCGGUGGCGGAGCGUCGUUUGCGACGCCCAACACACAAAACAAGCGGUGAGUGCUUUGGGGUGGGG